CUUCUGUCUUAAAGUCAUCAACACGGAGCAUCAAACUCCUCUACAUCUUCCCUGCCGGUUUACAAGCAUGAGGACGAACUUUCUGAAGUGGACCUGCAGAUCUAGUUUAGGUGUCGGUCGGCUGUUUCUGAGGCGUAAAUCUGUAGAACGGCCCGGUAAUCACACCUCCAGCCGUCGCUAAUGUUUGUCAGUCAGAUGAGACCUCGCUGUGACCUGCAGCAUGCUGAGGAUCUGCAUCAUUACUCCUGUUGCUCUGCUGCUAGGCUGCAUGAAUCCGGGCCUUUCUGUCACUCAGAGGAAUGUCCUCCCCUGAAUGCUGCAGAGUCGGCCUGAUAACUCAGGAACCUCUGCUGCUGUUGGUCAGAGACGGUUGAACACAUGAUGCGGCGUGCGAGCCGUUUCUUGGAGUUUGUCCCAAAUAGACACAAACAGGAAAACGAGGAGCAGCCGGCUUUUCUCCGUCAGCCCUUUUCGCUUCCCCUUUUUCUCCAGGAGGCCUCCUCAGAAGGGAGAGGAGCAUUUUCACCAUGACUCACUCCUCCUCCUCCUCCUCAGUGUGAAGUUCAGAUCCUGGACAGGCGCUGAUCCACCAGUGAAACAUGUUCAAAUCAACCCUGAUAAUUCCAGCUGUUCCUCCUGAAAGUGCUGAAGGUCCGAUGGACUGUUGGAGCGAUACAGGAAGUUCAGCUCCAUGAUCCUCUGAACCUCCCUCUGCAUCUACAUUCAGUUCAGUUAUCAUGUUAUUGAUUUUUAUCUAAUAACGGAAUAAAGAAACAUUUAAU